rnacentral:rRNA from 1 species
CGUGUAGGUGGUUCUGUAUGUCUACCGUGAAAGCGUACGGCUCAACCGUAUUUAGUCGGUAGAAACUGCAGGACUUGAGGCUGGGAGGGGCUGGUGGAAUUCCCCGUGUAGCGGUGAAAUGCGUAGAGAUGGGGGAGAACACUCGUGGCGAAGGCGGCCAGCUAGACCAGUUCUGACACUGAGGCGUGAUAGCGUGGGGAGCAAACA